rnacentral:rRNA from 1 species
UACGUAGGGGGCAAGCGUUGUCCGGAAUUAUUGGGCGUAAAGCGCGUGUAGGCGGCUCGGUAAGUCUGCUGUGAAAGUCCAGGGCUCAACCCUGGAAUGCCGGUGGAUACUGUCGAGCUCGAGUCCGGAAGAGGCGAGUGGAAUUCCUGGCGUAGCGGUGAAAUGCGCAGAUAUCAGGAGGAACACCAAUGGCGAAGGCAGCUCGCUGGGACGGUACUGACGCUGAGACGCGAAAGCGUGGGGAGCAAACAGG